AUGGGUGUUUGGUCAAGUCCCUUAACUGCACGAUUUAUAGACCGGGCCUUCUCUUCCGUAGCUGAAGGUGGUAAAAUUAAGUGUCCAUGCGCCAAAUGUCGGAAUUAUUUUCCGCAAGAAAGGCACAUUGUAGAGAAACACUUGUAUAAACAUGGGUAUAAGCCAAAUUACAAAACCUGGACAGAACAUGGUGAGAGUUUUGUAGCUGCUGCUGAUGGGUCUGUCCCUUUAGUACAUCAAGAGGGCUGUAAUGAAACUGAUCCAAUGGACAAUAUGUUGGUUGACUUAGGUGGUAGCCAUCCUCCACCGGUUACUGAGGAGCCAACCUCCUCUGCCAAGGCUUUUUAUAGGAUGGUCAGUAGUGCCGAUGAAUUGGUACAUGAGAACACAAAACACUCACGUCUUUCUGCUGUAGCUCGUUUGUUGGCUGUGAAAUCACGAUACAACAUGUCCAUUGCACAUUUUGAUGAUACCUUAAAAAUAAUCCAUGAACUUCUG
rnacentral:rRNA from 1 species